CUACCAUGCAGUCGCACGAGAAGGGACUUCGGUCUUGAGUAAAGUGGCGCACGGGUGAGUAACACGUGAAUGAUCUACCUCCGAGUGGGGAAUAACUGAGAGAAAUCUUAGCUAAUACCGCAUAACACUUACGAGUCAAAGCAGCAAUGCGCUUGGAGAGGAGUUCGCGGCCGAUUAGCUAGUUGGCGGGGUAAUGGCCCACCAAGGCGAUGAUCGGUAUCCGGCCUGAGAGGGCGCACGGACACACUGGAACUGAAACACGGUCCAGACUCCUACGGGAGGCAGCAGUGGGGAAUUUUGCGCAAUGGGGGAAACCCUGACGCAGCAACGCCGCGUGGAGGAUGAAGUAUCUUGGUACGUAAACUCCUUUCGAUGGGGAAGAUAAUGACGGUACCCAUAGAAGAAGCCCCGGCUAACUUCGUGCCAGCAGCCGCGGUAAUACGAGGGGGGCAAGCGUUGUUCGGAAUUAUUGGGCGUAAAGGGUGCGUAGGCGGUUUGACAAGUCAUCUGUGAAAUCUAUGGGCUCAACCCAUAGUCUGCAGGCGAAACUGUCGGGCUUGAGUAUUGGAGAGGUGAGUGGAAUUUCCGGUGUAGCGGUGAAAUGCGUAGAUAUCGGAAGGAACACCUGUGGCGAAAGCGGCUCACUGGACAAUAACUGACGCUGAGGCACGAAAGCUAGGGGAGCAAACAGGAUUAGAUACCCUGGUAGUCCUAGCCCUAAACGAUGAUUGUUUGAUGUGGCAGGUACCCAAUCCUGCCGUGUCGAACUACGCGAUAAACAUCCGCUGGGGGAGUACGUCGCAGCUGAACUCAAGAUUGACGGGGCCGCACAGCGUGAGCAUGUG
rnacentral:rRNA from 1 species